rnacentral:misc_RNA from 1 species
GAUGAAGAACGUAGCGAAAUGCGAUAAGUAAUGUGAAUUGCAGAAUUCAGUGAAUCAUCGAAUCUUUGAACGCACAUUGCGCCCGCCAGUACUCUGGCGGGCAUGCCUGUCCGAGCGUCAUUUCAACCCUCGCGCCGUCCCUCCAGGGGGCUCGGCGCGGUGUUGGGGGACACGGCCCCGGCCGCCCCCGAAAUGCAGUGGCGACCCCGCCGCGGCCCCUCCAGCGCAGUAAGCACGCUCGCUACGGGAGGCCCGGCGGACGCGUCCGCCGUGAAACGCCCAACUCUUCAGAAGUUGACCUCGGAUCAGGUAGGGAUACCCGCUGAACUUAAGCAUAUCAAUAAGCGGGAGGA